UACAGAGGUCUCAAGCGUUGUUCGGAUUCAUUGGGCGUAAAGGGUGCGUAGGCGGCGCGGUAAGUCGGGUGUGAAAUCUUGGAGCUUAACUCCGAAACUGCAUUCGAUACUGCCGUGCUUGAGGACUGGAGAGGAGACUGGAAUUUACGGUGUAGCGGUGAAAUGCGUAGAUAUCGUAAGGAAGACCAGUGGCGAAGGCGGGUCUCUGGACAGUUCCUGACGCUGAGGCACGAAGGCCAGAGGAGCAAACGGG
rnacentral:rRNA from 1 species